ACGAUGACCUGAAUAUCCAUUAUGGAAAAUUCAACAUUAAUAUUAUAAUAUUUAUUUAUAAAUAAUUAUAAAAAUAGUGUGCAAUUUUUCCAUAUAAGGACAUUGUAAUCUGUUAAUGUAAUAAAUAUUUAUCAUAAGAUUCAAUAAAUAAAAGUUUAUUCAAAUUAGUUAUUUUCCGAUUUCUAACAUAGAAUAAAUUUAAUUGAAUUUGAUAAAUCAUUGACAGAUUUAUUUAUAUAUAGUGCUUAAAUUCUUAAUUGAAUUUUACAAUAAUUUAUAAAUGUAUUUUCAUUUAUUUAUUUAUUGUAUGCACUUAUAUGAUUAACAAUGCUAUAGAUUCAGGAUACCUUCGGGACCCGUCUUGAAACACGGACCAAGGAGUCUAACAUAUGUGCAAGUCAUUGGGUAUUUUUAAUAAAACCCAAAGGCAAAAUUAACUUAACUGUUUUUUUUAAUGGGAUUAAUUUAUAUUUUAUUAUGAAAUAUUAAUUCAAUCCCGGGGCGUUCUAUAUAGUUAUGUAUAAUAAUAUUUAUAUUAUUUAUGCCUCUAACUAGAGCGG
rnacentral:rRNA from 1 species